rnacentral:tRNA from 1 species
GCCUGCGUGGCUCAAUUGGUUGAGUAUCCGACUUCGGCUCAGGUUGUGAUCUCAUGGUUUGUGGGUUCAAGCCCCGCGUCAGGCU